UACGGGGGAGGCAAGCGUUGUUCGGAAUUACUGGGCGUAAAGGGCUCGUAGGCGGCCAACUAAGUCAGACGUGAAAUCCCUCGGCUUAACCGGGGAACUGCAUCUGAUAUUGGAUGGCUUGAGUUCGGGAGAGGGAUGCGGAAUUCCAGGUGUAGCGGUGAAAUGCGUAGAUAUCUGGAGGAACACCGGUGGCGAAGGCGGCAUCCUGGACCGACACUGACGCUGAGGAGCGAAAGCCAGGGGAGCAAACGGG
rnacentral:rRNA from 1 species